rnacentral:rRNA from 1 species
AACCAACAGGGAUUGCCCUAGUAACGGCGAGUGAAGCGGCAACAGCUCAAAUUUGAAAUCUGGCCUUCGGGUCCGAAUUGUAAUUUGUAGAGGAUGCUUUUGGUUAGGUACCUUCCGAGUUCCCUGGAACGGGACGCCUUAGAGGGUGAGAGCCCCGUACGGUUGGAUGCCGAGCCUCUGUAAAGCUCCUUCGACGAGUCGAGUAGUUUGGGAAUGCUGCUCUAAAUGGGAGGUAAAUUUCUUCUAAAGCUAAAUACCGGCCAGAGACCGAUAGCGCACAAGUAGAGUGAUCGAAAGAUGAAAAGUACUUUGAAAAGAGGGUUAAACAGCACGUGAAAUUGUUGAAAGGGAAGCGUUUAUGACCAGACUUUUUCUAGGCGGAUCAUCCGGUGUUCUCACCGGUGCACUUCGUCUAGUUUAGGCCAACAUCGGUUUCUGUAGGGGGAUAAAAUCGGUAGGAACGUAGCUCCUUCGGGAGUGUUAUAGCCUGCCGAAUAAUACCUUUACGGGGACCGAGGUUCGCGCUCUGCAAGGAUGUUGGCAUAAUGGUCAUCAACGACCCGUCUUGAAACACGGACCAAGGAGUCGAACAUUUGUGCGAGUGUUUGGGUGUUAAACCCUCACGCGUAAUGAAAGUGAACGGAGGUGAGAGCCCUUCGGGGUGCAUCAUCGACCGAUCCUGAAGUUUACGGAUGGAUUUGAGUAAGAGCAUAACUGUUCGGACCCGAAAGAUGGUGAACUAUGCGUGGAUAGGGUGAAGCCAGAGGAAACUCUGGUGGAGGCUCGCAGCGGUUCUGACGUGCAAAUCGAUCGUCAAAUCUGCGCAUGGGGGCGAAAGACUAAUCGAACCAUUAAAACCAGCGGUAAUUUAAUUUACUAGGUGGUUA